UAGGGAAUAUUAGAAAUGGACGAAAGUCUGAUCUAGCAACACCGCGUGUGCGAAGAAGGCCUUCGGGUUGUAAAGCACUUUUUGGAAGGAUUAGGAAGGAAUGUACUUCCAGAAUAAGUCUCGGCUAACUACGUGCCAGCAGCCGCGGUAACACGUAGGAGGCAAACGUUAUCCGGAUUUACUGGGCGUAAAGCGCGUGUAGGUGGUUCUGUAAGUAGGGCGUGAAAGCUCCUGGCUCAACUGGGAGAGGCCGUUCUAAACUGCAGGGCUAGAGGAUGGUAGAGGGAGGUGGAAUUCCGGGUGUAGCGGUGGAAUGCGCAGAUAUCCGGAGGAACACCAGUGGCGAAAGCGGCCUCCUGGACCAUUACUGACACUCAGACGCGAAAGCUAGGGGAGCAAACG
rnacentral:rRNA from 1 species